UUUAGUUUGGAAGUAGUAUAUAUCUGUAUGUGGAGUUUUGCUUUUUUCCACUGUGAAAUCAAACCCCUCUAUCCAGUCUCUUACAUUCUUGAUAUGCUCAUCCCCCGAAAUCUUCCUUUCUCAUCUAAAGGCAGAUCAGAGAAUUCAACAUUCUCAGUGGUCAAAUUUUUUACCCAAGGUGGGUCUCGAGUCAAUCAGCGGUAUGCCUUCAGCUUUGAAUGAGAGCUUUGGCAUGUACUCGGGAUCUAGGGGAUAGUUGGUUCAACCUCUCCCGUGGUAGGUAAACUUAAUUUGGAAGGAAAGCAACUCAAUGCUUUUUU
rnacentral:lncRNA from 1 species